GGAGGAUUAGUCCUAAUGGUAAGGCAUCCCGCUUGAAACGGGACGGGUUCUGCCCUUGGGGGUUCGAAUCCCUCAUCCUCCGCCA
rnacentral:tRNA from 1 species